rnacentral:rRNA from 1 species
ACUCCUACGGGAGGCAGCAGUGAGGAAUAUUGGUCAAUGGCCGGAAGGCUGAACCAGCCAAGUAGCGUGAAGGAUGAAGGUUCUAUGGAUUGUAAACUUCUUUUAUACGGGAAUAAAACCUCCCACGUGUGGGAGCUUGUAUGUACCGUAUGAAUAAGCAUCGGCUAACUCCGUGCCAGCAGCCGCGGUAAU